CGUUGGGUCCCUUGAGGACUUAGUGACGCAGCUAACGCAAUAAGUAGACCGCCUGGGGAGUACGGCCGCAAGGUUAAAACUCAAAUGAAUUGACGGGGGCCCGCACAAGCGGUGGAGCAUGUGGUUUAAUUCGAUGCAACGCGAAGAACCUUACCUGGUCUUGACAUACACAGAAUCUUGUAGAGAUACGAGAGUGCCUUCGGGAAUUGUGAUACAGGUGCUGCAUGGCUGUCGUCAGCUCGUGUCGUGAGAUGUUGGGUUAAGUCCCGCAACGAGCGCAACCCUUGUCCUUAGUUACCAGCGGGUUAAGCCGGGAACUCUAAGGAUACUGCCAGUGACAAACUGGAGGAAGGCGGGGACGACGUCAAGUCAUCAUGGCCCUUACGACCAGGGCUACACACGUGCUACAAUGGUAGGUACAGAGGGCAGCUACACAGCGAUGUGAUGCGAAUCUCAAAAAGCCUAUCGUAGUCCAGAUUGGAGUCUGCAACUCGACUCCAUGAAGUAGGAAUCGCUAGUAAUCGCGGAUCAGAAUGCCGCGGUGAAUACGUUCCCGGGCCUUGUACACACCGCCCGUCACACCAUGGGAGUUGAUUGCACCAGAAGUGGUUAGCCGAACCUUUUAGGACGGCGAUCACCACGGUGUGGUUGAUGACUGGGGUGAAGUCGUAACAAGGUAACC
rnacentral:rRNA from 1 species